GAUGAACGCUGGCGGCGUGCCUAAUACAUGCAAGUCGAGCGAACAGACGAGGAGCUUGCUCCUCUGACGUUAGCGGCGGACGGGUGAGUAACACGUGGAUAACCAACCUAUAAGACUGGGAUAACUACGGGAAACCGGAGCUGAUACUGGAUAAUAUAUUGAACCGCAUGGUUCAAUAGUGAAAGACGGUUUUGCUGUCACUUAUAGAUGGAUCCGCGCCGCAUUAGCUAGUUGGUAGGGUAAUGGCUUACCAAGGCGGCGAUGCGUAGCCGACCUGAGAGGGUGGUCGGCCACACUGGAACUGAGACGCGGUCGAGACGCCUACGGGAGGCGGCAGUAGGGAAUCUUCCGCAAUGGGCGGAAGCCUGACGAAGCAGCGCCGCGUGGGUGGUGAAGGUCUUCGGAUCGUAAAACUCUGUUAUUAGGAGAGAACAAAUGUGGAAGUAACUGUGCACGUCUUGACGGUACCUAGACAGAAAGCGACGGCUAACUACGUG
rnacentral:rRNA from 1 species